rnacentral:tmRNA from 1 species
GGGGCCGAUUUGGAUUCGACGCCGGUUACAAAACUUGAGGUGCAUGUCGAGAGGGUAUAACGAUCUCGUAAAUCCCCGUUGUACAUUUAAAUAGUCGCAAACGACGAAACUUACGCACUAGCGGCUUAAGCCCGCUUACCUCCAAGACCAGUUUCCUGUUACUGGUGGCGGAGGGCGCAGCGAAACAGGAUCGCCACGGAGGCUUCGCUCGUAGCCAAAGGGUUAAAACCAAUCGAGAUCACCCCAAACACCCUGCCCUUCGGGUCGUGACGGGUUAAAUAAAUAGAUACGGCUAAACAUGUAGAUCUGAUAGCGGAGGAUUGGCGGACGGGGGUUCAAAUCCCCCCGGCUCCACCA